AAAAAGUUAGUUAAAAUAUAAUAUUAGGUUGUCAGCCUAAUGUCACUAAUUCGCCUUAGUACUUUUUAC
rnacentral:tRNA from 1 species